AGUAAAGUCAGCUAAAUAAGCUAUCGGGCCC
rnacentral:tRNA from 1 species